AGUGAACGCUGGCGGCAGGCCUAAUACAUGCAAGUCGAACGGCAGCACAGCAGAGCUUGCUCUGUGGGUGGCGAGUGGCGGACGGGUGAGGAAUACAUGGGAAUCUGCCCAGUCGUGGGGGGUAACGUAGGGAAACUUACGCUAAUACCGCAUGCGCCCUUCGGGGGAAAGCCGGGGACCUUCGGGCCUGGCGCGAUUGGAUGAGCCCAUGUCGGAUUAGCUAGUUGGCGGGGUAAUGGCCCACCAAGGCGACGAUCCGUAGCUGGUCUGAGAGGAUGAUCAGCCACACUGGAACUGAGACACGGUCCAGACUCCUACGGGAGGCAGCAGUAGGGAAUAUUGGACAAUGGGCGCAAGCCUGAUCCAGCCAUGCCGCGUGAGUGAAGAAGGCCUUCGGGUUGUAAAGCUCUUUCAGCCGGGAAGAAAACGCACUCUCUAACAUAGGGUGUGGAUGACGGUACCGGAAGAAGAAGCACCGGCUAACUACGUG
rnacentral:rRNA from 1 species